GAGUUCAGACUCGUGGCGAAUAGCUCAGUAACACGUGGCCAAACUACCCUUCGGAGCACGAUACCCUCGGGAAACUGAGGCUAAUAGUGCAUACCACAUCACAGCUGGAAUGAGUGAUGUGCCAAACGCUCCGGCGCCGAAGGAUGUGGCUGCGGCCGAUUAGGUAGACGGUGGGGUAACGGCCCACCGUGCCAAUAAUCGGUACGGGUCAUGAGAGUGAGAACCCGGAGACGGAAUCUGAGACAAGAUUCCGGGCCCUACGGGGCGCAGCAGGCGCGAAACCUUUACACUGCACGCCAGUGCGAUAAGGGAAUCCCAAGUGCGCAGGCAUAGAGCCUGCGCUUUUGUACACCGUAGGGAGGUGUACGAAUAAGGGCUGGGCAAGACCGGUGCCAGCCGCCGCGGUAAUACCGGCAGCCCGAGUGAUGGCCGAUCUUAUUGGGCCUAAAGCGUCCGUAGCUGGCCGCGCAAGUCUAUCGGAAAAUCCACCCGCUCAACGGGUGGGCGUCCGGUAGAAACUGCGUGGCUUGGGACCGGAAGGCGCGACGGGUACGUCCGGGGUAGGAGUGAAAUCCCGUAAUCCUGGACGGACCGCCGAUGGCGAAAGCACGUCGCGAGGACGGAUCCGACAGUGAGGGACGAAAGCCAGGGUCUCGAACCGGAUUAGAUACCCGGGUAGUCCUGGCCGUAAACAAUGUCUGUUAGGUGUGGCUCCCACUACGAGUGGGUGCUGUGCCGUAGGGAAGCCGCUAAACAGACCGCCUGGGAAGUACGUCCGCAAGGAUGAAACUUAAAGGAAUUGGCGGGGGAGCACUACAACCGGAGGAGCCUGCGGUUUAAUUGGACUCAACGCCGGACAUCUCACCAGCAUCGACUGUAAUAAUGACGAUCAGGUUGAUGACCUUAUCCGAGUUUCAGAGAGGAAGUGCAUGGCCGCCGUCAGCUCGUACCGUGAGGCGUCCUGUUAAGUCAGGCAACGA
rnacentral:rRNA from 1 species